GGACCCUUAGCUCAGUUGGUUAGAGCGUCUGACUCAUAAUCAGAGGGUCGCUGGUUCAAAUCCGGCAGGGUCCA
rnacentral:tRNA from 1 species